AGCAGCCACUCUAUAGUCUCGCCGUCCGAUUUGUGUUGUAACUCAC
rnacentral:sRNA from 1 species